rnacentral:rRNA from 1 species
AGAGUUUGAUCAUGGCUAAGGCUAAACACGGUAGGACGAAAUAAGGUAUGCGAGUUUAAUCAUGGCUUCGGACUAACUGGGUAAACGGGUGAAUAACGUGUGAGAAUCUGCCUACAGGACUGGGACAACCACUGGAGACGGUGGCUAAUACCAGAUAUGAAGUGAGUAAAAAGGUUUAUUCCGCCUGAAGAUGAUGUCGCGUCAGAUUAAUUAGUUGGUGAGGUAACGGCUUACCAAGGCAUCGAUCUGUAGCUGGUCUGAGAGGAUGACCAGCCACACUGGGACUGAGACACGGUCCAGACUCCUACGGGAGGCAGCAGUGAGGAAUUUUCCGCAAUGGGCGAAAGCCUGACGGAGUAAUACCGCGUGCGGGAGGAAGGUCUAUUGACUGUAAACCGCUUUUAGGGGGGGAGAAUUGAUGACGGUACUUAAUGAAUAAGCCUCGGCUAACUCCGUGCCAGCAGCCGCGGUAAGACGGAGGAGGCAAGCGUUAUCCGGAAUUAUUGGGCGUAAAGCGUCCGUAGGUGGUUUUGUCAGUCUGCUGUCAAAGCCCGUGGCUCAACCACGGAAAGGCAGUGGAAACUACAAGACUGGAGUGCAGUAGGGGCAGAGGGAAUUCCCAGAGUAGCGGUGAAAUGCGUAGAGAUUGGGAAG